rnacentral:misc_RNA from 1 species
UGGUUCUGGCAUCGAUGAAGAACGCAGCGAAAUGCGAUAAGUAAUGUGAAUUGCAGAAUUCAGUGAAUCAUCGAAUCUUUGAACGCACAUUGCGCCCUUUGGUAUUCCGAAGGGCAUGCCCGUUCGAGCGUCAUUUCACCAAUCAAGCCUGGCUUGGUGUUGGGCCGCGGGGAGACCCGGGCCCCAAAGUUCGCCGGCCGGCCGUUCCGGAUCUCAGCGUCGUGGCAUCAAAACCCGCGGAGAGAUGGGGCGGACGCGCCGUGACAAACCCCCUUCACAUGAAAGGUUGACCUCGGAUCGGGUAGGGAUACCCGCUGA